GUGCUCUCUUCAGCAGCACACAUACUAAAAUUGGAAUGAUACAGAGAAGAUUAGCACAGCCCCUGAACAAGGAUGACAUGCAAAUUCGUGAAGCAUUCCAUAUAUAU
ensembl:snRNA U6 U6 spliceosomal RNA